UACAGAGGGGGCAAGCGUUGUUCGGAAUUACUGGGCGUAAAGGGCGCGUAGGCGGCCUUCUAAGUCGAACGUGAAAUCCCUGGGCUCAACCCAGGAACUGCGUCCGAUACUGGGAGGCUUGAAUCCGGGAGAGGGAUGUGGAAUUCCAGGUGUAGCGGUGAAAUUCGUAGAUAUUCGGAAGAACACCAGUGGCGAAGGCGGCUCACUGGACCGGCAUUGACGCUGAGGUGCGAAAGCGUGGGGAGCAAACAGG
rnacentral:rRNA from 1 species